AGAGUUUGAUCCUGGCUCAGGACGAACGCUGGCGGCGUGCCUAACACAUGCAAGUCGAGCGGACCCGUUCCCUCUCCUCGGAGAGGGGCCGGGUUAGCGGCGAACGGGUGAGUAACACGUGGGUAACCUACCCCGAAGACUGGGAUAACCCCGGGAAACCGGGGCUAAUACCGGAUACCUUCCCACCGCCGCAUGGUGGAGGGAAGAAAGGUUGGCUUCGGCCUUCCGCUUCGGGAUGGGCCCGCGGCCCAUUAGCUUGUUGGUGGGGUAACGGCCUACCAAGGCGACGAUGGGUAGCCGGCCUGAGAGGGUGUCCGGCCACACUGGGACUGAGACACGGCCCAGACUCCUACGGGAGGCAGCAGUGAGGAAUAUUGCGCAAUGGGCGAAAGCCUGACGCAGCGACGCCGCGUGGACGAUGAAGGCCUUCGGGUUGUAAAGUCCUGUCAGGAGGGACGAAGCGGCCUCGUGCCGUGACGGUACCUCGGUAGGAAGCCCCGGCUAACUACGUGCCAGCAGCCGCGGUAAGACGUAGGGGGCUAGCGUUGUCCGGAAUUACUGGGCGUAAAGAGCUCGUAGGCGGCCCGUUAAGUCGGGUGUGAAAGCCCUCGGGCUCAACCGAGGAAUUGCACUCGAUACUGGCGGGCUAGAGUCUGGUAGAGGGAGGUGGAAUUCCCGGUGUAGCGGUGAAAUGCGCAGAUAUCGGGAGGAACACCGGGUGGCGAGGCGGGCCUCCUGGCCACGACUGACGCUGAGAGCGAAAAGCUGGGGGGAGCGAACAGGAUUAGAUACCCUGGUAGUCCCAGGCCGUAACGAUGGGCACUAGGUGUGGGGGGUUACCAACUCCCUCCGUGCGAAGCUAACGCAUUAAGUGCGCCGCCUGGGGAGUACGGCCGCAGAGUUAAAACUCAAAUGAAUUGGACG
rnacentral:rRNA from 1 species